rnacentral:rRNA from 1 species
UACGGGGGGGGCAAGCGUUGUUCGGAAUUACUGGGCGUAAAGGGCUCGUAGGUGGCCAACUAAGUCAGACGUGAAAUCCCUCGGCUUAACCGGGUAACUGCGUCUGAUACUGGAUGGCUUGAGUUUGGGAGAGGGACGCGGAAUUCCAGGUGUAGCGGUGAAAUGCGCAGAUAUCAGGAGGAACACCGGUGGCGAAGGCGGUUCUCUGGGCCUUACCUGACGCUGAGGAGCGAAAGCGUGGGGAGCGAACAGG